rnacentral:rRNA from 1 species
UUCCGUAGGGUAACCUGCGGAGGGAUCAUUACACAAAUAUGAAGGCGGGCUGGAAUCUCUCGGGGUUACAGCCUUGCUGAAUUAUUCACCCUUGUCUUUUGCGUACUUCUUGUUUCCUUGGUGGGUUCGCCCACCACUAGGACAAACAUAAACCUUUUGUAAUUGCAAUCAGCGUCAGUAACAAAUUAAUAAUUACAACUUUCAACAACGGAUCUCUUGGUUCUGGCAUCGAUGAAGAACGCAGCGAAAUGCGAUAAGUAGUGUGAAUUGCAGAAUUCAGUGAAUCAUCGAAUCUUUGAACGCACAUUGCGCCCUUUGGUAUUCCAAAGGGCAUGCCUGUUCGAGCGUCAUUUGUACCCUCAAGCUUUGCUUGGUGUUGGGCGUCUUGUCUCUAGCUUUGCUGGAGACUCGCCUUAAAGUAAUUGGCAGCCGGCCUACUGGUUUCGGAGCGCAGCACAAGUCGCACUCUCUAUCAGCAAAGGUCUAGCAUCCAUUAAGCCUUUUUUCAACUUUUGACCUCGGAUCAGGUAGGGAUACCCGCUGAACUUAAGCAUAUCAAUAAGCGGAGGA